rnacentral:lncRNA from 1 species
GCCUGUACAUCCCACUCCUUUGUGUGCCCUGCCCGACCGCACGGGUUUUCCUUCACCAGCUGGUGUUCCCUCCUGCAGCAAAUACUCCCCUCCUCCAUCUCCUUCCUGACUUUUCACAGCCCCAGUGAGUGGUCUCAUCCAAAUCUAUUUCACUCGAUUUCACUUGCGCUGCGAGGCACAGUUCUGGUUAAGUGUGCUGAUUGUUUAAUUUAUCUCUCACCUGUUUGUCCUCUCCUGGCUCCUCCAAGGUCAACUCCUGCCCAGCUCUUAAAUCUUCUUCUCGCCUCCCUUGAUGAGGGCUCCUCCAUCAAUUCACCCUCUCUGCUGUCGAUCUCAUUUCUCCCUCUACAUUAGUUCCCUCUCCUUGGAUUAUAAAUUGCCCGAGUCUCUGUGAGAACAUGAAUAAUGAUCCUGAGCCCCAUCGCCCUCCUGGCUUGCAUUGCUUACUUUCCCCAAAAGGCAGUCCUGGCCUUGGCUUCCGUCCGGAUGCCCCUUCUUACAAUGUGCCUUUCUGAUGACAUAGCUUUAUCUGUGCUCCCUGCAAUUUUCUGGUCCCCAAACCCCAGAUGCCCUAAGCAGUCCCUGGAGGUCACCUGGCUUUAUAAACAGGUGCCAGCAACCCAGAGGGGACACCCACACACAUAGCAUUACUACGAACCACAGAUGCAGUUUUAAACUUCCUAGUAGCUGCAUCUUUAAAAAGUAAAAAGAAAUAGGUGAGAUUAAUCUAACAAAUCUAACAUUAGUUAGAUGUUAGAUUAGAUUAAUCUAACAUUAAUCUAAAUAAUCUAACAAAUUGUUGUACCUCGGGCUAUCCAAAAUCUUACCAGCUCAACAUGGAAUCAAUAUCUAUUAUUUGGGAUGCCUGGGUAGCUCAGCGGUUUAGUGCCACCUUCAGCCCAGGGUGUGAUCCUGGAGACCCAGGAUUGAGUCCCACAUCAGGCUCCCUGCAUGGAGCCUGCUUCUGUCUCUGCCUCUCUCAUUCUGUGCCUCUCAUGAAUAAAUAAAUAAAAUCUUUUAAAAAUAUAUCCAUUAUUCAUGAGUCAUCUACAUUCUUUUUGUGUCCUGAGUGUUGGAAAUCCAGUGUGUCUUUGCAGUGCAGCCCAUCAGAUUCAGACUAGCCUCAUCCCCAGGGAUCCAUAGCCACCUGUGGCUGGCUGGUGGCUGCCAGGCUGAUCAGCCCAGCUUUAGAGCUGCAGCAUGGCUCCAGUCCCGGUCCAGGGAGGGCUCUCUCCACCAUGCUGAGCUGAGAGGUGCUUUUCCAGUCUCUGUUAUCCUGCCUUCUACACCCCUUGACCUUGGGGGGGGGAUGGCAGUCACCACCACUGUCUGCUCUCCCUCCCGUGCUCCAGACCCUGCAUCCUUUGGAUCUCCAUUUGCACCCCUCUUCCUGCUCUGGUCUCCCUUCCUCUUAACAUUCCAAAUCUGGGCAUCACUCAAGAUAAGCAUAUUCUUGUCAAUGAUGGUAGUAACAAUCUUCUUCUGCAUCAUCAUCAUCAUCAUCGUAUUGAGCCAUACACUGCUCUAAGUACUUGUCACGUAAUAAUUCUCCACUCUCUGAAGCUGCCCCAGGAGGUAGGUGUUAUGUUGUCCCCAUGUAUUAGUUUCCUUUUGCUGCUGUAACAAAUUGUCAUGAACUUGUAGCUUAAGACAACAGAAAUGUAUUAUCUUAUAGUUCUGUAAGUUAGAAGCUUGGCAUGGGUCUCUCUGGGGUAAAAUCAAGGUGUCUGUGGAGGGGUUCCUGGGUGACAUAGUUAAGCGUCUGACUCUUGGUCUCACCUGAGGUCAUGAUCUCAGGGUUUUGCCAUUGAGCCCUGCAUCCAGCUCUGCACUCAGUGCAGAAUCUGCUUCAGAUUCUCUCUCUCUUUCUCCCUCUACCCCUCCCGCUCAUUCUCUCUCUCUCUCUCUCUCUCAGAUAAAUAAACAAACCUUUUUUUAAAAAGUGUCUGCAGAAUGCAUCCCUUCCUAGAGCCUCCAGGAGAGAAUUCAUAUCAUUGCCUUCAAGCUUCAAGAUGAGACUUGAAUUCUUUAGUUUAUGGCCUCUUCUUCCAUCUUCAAAGCCAGCCACAGGGGGUUGAUUUCUUUCCGCAUCAUUCUUUCCAAUCUCUUUUUCUGACUCCUUCUUCAUUGGGUCCAUGCAGAUAAUCCAGGAUAAUCUAUCUUCAAAUUAGCUGUGAUUUUAACUCCUCUUCACCAUGUUAUCUAACAUGGUCACAAAUUCCAGGGAUUAGGACAUAAGCAUCUGGGGUGGGGGAUUAC